GUAUGGGAUCCUCCUCCAUCACCAUCUUGAACCAGGAUCCCGAGUGCUUUUAAAAAAAAAAGAUAUAUAACUAAAAUGUAUUUGACCCAAUUUUGGAUUUUGAGGAGGAAAAGGUAACUCAACAUGAGAUUCUCUCUAAAUACCAUUUAUCUAGACAUGUAGCUUUCAAGGGAAGAGAUACAAAGAGGAAAACAGGGUCUUCCUUAAGGUGGAGGAGGUAAGAGUACCUCCCAAAAAAUGCUUCUUUCUUCUGUAUUCAAAACUAAGACCUGUGGGACUCUUCUUAAUGAGAAGAAUUGGAAUCAAACCUUCUGGUCCUAGAGCCAGACCUCAUCCUGUUUUCUUUGGAUAUUCCUGGAAGCUAAUUAUCUUUUAAACAAGUAUCAGAAGAAAAAAGAGGCACAGGCUGGCUCGGCUGGCACCUCAGCUCAAAAAAAAAAAGGAAAAAAGAAAGAAGAAAAAGAAAAAAGAAAAGACAAAUCAGAAGAAAGGAAAAUCGAGGCACAGAUGGCACUAAACAUUCUCAAAUCCUCCAUGAUGAAAAGUUCUGAGAUAGAAUACUCGGGGAUUGGGCAGCCUUCAAAAAAGGUUUUUCGAAGGGCUCUUUCUCAGUUUAGGUUAUAGAAAGCUGGGUUAGGAAAGUCUAUUUAAAAAGUAAUAAUAAUAAAAACAAUUAGUCUCCCCCCCAAAAAAGGACUUAAUGAAAAAAAAAUGUUGGAAAUCUGAAACUCUCUGGAUAAUUACUCUCUGUAAAAUGUAUGUGUGUGGGGGUGCAGUUGAGGCACCUAGGACCAAUUUUACUUCUUUUAGGUAGACCGUCACCAAAGCAAAUAUAAAAUUGACAGGUGUAUUAGGCAACUUGAUUAGAUAACCCUUCCAUAAAGUUUUAAGAAACAUGAUGACCAGAGAUGGAUGUUAUCAUAAUCAUUAUUGAUACCUAAUCAUAAGGGUGAAAUUAUCAUCCUCCAUGGUUCUUAGGUAGUUAAAUGGAAGGCUCCCUUGUCCCACUCAACAUCCUUUAAUAGUAUAGAUGAAAGGAUUUAGUCAUGACUUUGAAAAGACUUACAUUCAAAUUCCAAAUAAUAGCAAGCACCCAAGGCAAUAGAGUAAAUCUUAUAAAUUUUUACUCUAUUAUUAUACAAUGGUAAAAUUGAGGCUUACUUCCUAGUACUUUAGUAACUAUAUCACCUAUAAAAACAAUAAAUAACAACACAUAAUUUUUAAUUGAUGUAGAGUAAGUUCACAUUUUCAAUUUUAGGAUCCCUUUGAAAUCCAUCAUUUCUGAGAGUCAGCAUGAAUUUACUUACUACCAUAAGUAUUCCAAAGAGAUAGCUUUCUUUUUAAGAAAAACAGUUUUAAAAAGGCUGAUAAGAAAAUAUCCAAGGACUACUGGGACAAAUGAUGUUCAAUGUAGGUGAAUCAUAGGCUCAGUGAACACAUUUAACUUAUUAAAAAUAUCCUCCAUGUCAGUAUCUUUCUACUCUGCCAGACACACUCCAUCAGAGUCUAGCAUGCCAAAGCAAUGCCCAUUGCUCUUAUAAAUCAUCUUUGGGAUCCAAGCCUCCUAAAGUCCCUUUCUAGACUUUAGAAAGGGUUGUCUCCUAAAAAUCCCCAUCAAAAAUCAUCUACU